UGAUAUAUUGUAAACUGGAUGCAUCUGGCAAAGAGAAUGGCUUCAGCUCUCUGCUGUCAUAUGAAGCUGUGUGCUUGUGGUGCUUUUUGUGUUUUCCCGCAAGCUCCUCACCAGGUCAAUAGUAAAAGAUGUAGAAGAGUGAAGGGCAUGCAUGAGGUUUUUGUUGUCCUUUGUCAUAUGUAAUCACCUGGAGGAUGGAACUGAAAAUAGUGUAGCAAGCUGAACAGGACUGCCAUGCAAUUAGUAAUCUGCUUGCAUGUCAGCCUUGUGUUAUGAUCUGCCCUGCCUGCUAUAAAAAACUGCAGGUCAGUGUGUCAGAGUAGGAGCUUGGUUGGAUCGGACUGAUGUAUUAAGAGUGCAGUUUUUAGAAGAUGCCCUGUUGCCGUCAGUGCCACCCACCCAAGGGAAAACUUGGGAUGCUGAGCCGUGAUACACUGUAUCUGGCAGAGACGCAAAUGCCGAUUGGGAUGCAAAUGCUUGACGGGGUAAUAUUCAAUGGAACUUGUAAUGCAAUGUGCAAUCUAUAAGUUGGGCUUGUGUAACAUCUUGAGCU
rnacentral:lncRNA from 1 species